rnacentral:rRNA from 1 species
UACAGAGGUCCCAAGCGUUGUUCGGAUUCACUGGGCGUAAAGGGUGCGUAGGUGGUGAGGUAAGUCUGAUGUGAAAUCUCCGAGCUCAACUCGGAAAUGGCAUCGGAAACUACCUCGCUAGAGGUUUGGAGGGGGGACUGGAAUUCUCGGUGUAGCAGUGAAAUGCGUAGAUAUCGAGAAGAACACCCGUGGCGAAGGCGGUUCUCUGGGACGGUACUGACGCUGAGACGCGAAAGCGUGGGGAGCGAACAGG